rnacentral:rRNA from 1 species
GACGAACGCUGGCGGCGUGCUUAACACAUGCAAGUCGAACGAUGAACCCGGAGCUUGCUCUGGGGGAUUAGUGGCGAACGGGUGAGUAACACGUGAGUAACCUGCCCUGGACUCUGGGAUAAGCGUUGGAAACGACGUCUAAUACCGGAUAGGACCUUGGAUCGCAUGAUCUGGGGUGGAAAGUUUUUUCGGUCUGGGAUGGACUCGCGGCCUAUCAGCUUGUUGGUGAGGUAAUGGCUCACCAAGGCGUCGACGGGUAGCCGGCCUGAGAGGGUGACCGGCCACACUGGGACUGAGACACGGCCCAGACUCCGACGGGAGGCAGCAGUGGGGAAUAUUGCACAAUGGGCGAAAGCCUGAUGCAGCAACGCCGCGUGCGGGAUGACGGCCGUCGGGUUGUAAACCGCUUUUAGUAGGGAAGAAGGGCUUCGGCUUGACGGUACCUGCAGAAAAAGAACCGGCUAACUACGUG